rnacentral:rRNA from 1 species
CCUACGGGUGGCAGCAGUGGGGAAUAUUGGGCAAUGGGCGCAAGCCUGACCCAGCAACGCCGCGUGAAGGAAGAAGGCUUUCGGGUUGUAAACUUCUUUUGUCAGGGACGAAGCAAGUGACGGUACCUGACGAAUAAGCCACGGCUAACUACGUGCCAGCAGCCGCGGUAAUACGUAGGUGGCAAGCGUUAUCCGGAUUUAUUGGGUGUAAAGGGCGUGUAGGCGGGAAUGCAAGUCAGAUGUGAAAACUAUGGGCUCAACCCAUAGCCUGCAUUUGAAACUGUAUUUCUUGAGUGCUGGAGAGGCAAUCGGAAUUCCGUGUGUAGCGGUGAAAUGCGUAGAUAUACGGAGGAACACCAGUGGCGAAGGCAGCUUACCAGACUGCGACUGACGCUGAAGCACGAGAGCGUGGGUAGCGAACAGGAUUAGAUACCCCUGUAGUC